rnacentral:rRNA from 1 species
UGGGGAAUUUUGCUCAAUGGACGAAAGUCUGAAGCAGCAACGCCGCGUGGAGGAUGAAGGAUUUCGGUUCGUAAACUCCUUUUAUUUGGGAAGAUAAUGACGGUACCAAAUGAAUAAGCACCGGCUAACUCCGUGCCAGCAGCCGCGGUAAUACGGAGGGUGCAAGCGUUACUCGGAAUUACUGGGCGUAAAGGGAGUGUAGGCGUUUUGUUAAGUCUCCCGUGAAAUCCUAUGGCUUAACCAUAGAACUGCGGGGGAAACUGAUAAAAUAGAGUAUGGAAGAGGUUGAUAGAAUUUCUGGUGUAGGGGUAAAAUCCGUAGAUAUCAGAAGGAAUACCAAAAGCGAAGGCAUUCAACUGGGACAUUACUGACGCUGAGGCUCGAAAGCGUGGGGAGCAAA